UUCUACAGGCAGUCGAAGCGGACAGUCGAAUGUAUUCUGCGAUUUUGAAAAGUGCGUUAGGAAGCGGAACAUGUUGCAUCUGGUCGAUGAAUGUGCCAGACAGAGUGACAAUUCCAAAUCUGAAGCGGAGAAGUACGUACAAACAACAUCCUGCGUUCUUGAAGAAAUGCAUCGGCGCAAAUUUCUGUCAGGACCUCGAUACCCAGGCGGCUUCUCGAGUCCGAAG